rnacentral:rRNA from 1 species
AGUGAACGCUGGCGGUAGGCCUAACACAUGCAAGUCGAACGGCAGCACAGUAAGAGCUUGCUCUUACGGGUGGCGAGUGGCGGACGGGUGAGGAAUACAUCGGAAUCUACUUUUUCGUGGGGGAUAACGUAGGGAAACUUACGCUAAUACCGCAUACGACCUACGGGUGAAAGCAGGGGAUCUUCGGACCUUGCGCGAUUGAAUGAGCCGAUGUCGGAUUAGCUGGUUGGCGGGGUAAAGGCCCACCAAGGCGACGAUCCGUAGCUGGUCUGAGAGGAUGAUCAGCCACACUGGAACUGAGACACGGUCCAGACUCCUACGGGAGACAACAGUGGGGAAUAUUGGACAAUGGGCGCAAGCCUGAUCCAGCCAUACCGCGUGGGUGAAGAAGGCCUUCGGGUUGUAAAGCCCUUUUGUUGGGAAAGAAAAGCAGCAGGUUAAUACCCCGCUGUUCUGACGGUACCCAAAGAAUAAGCACCGGCUAACUUCGUG